rnacentral:rRNA from 1 species
AGACCCGAAACCCGGUGAUCUAGCCAUGGGCAGGUUGAAGGUUGGGUAACACUAACUGGAGGACCGAACCGACUAAUGUUGAAAAAUUAGCGGAUGACCUGUGGCUGGGGGUGAAAGGCCAAUCAAACCGGGAGAUAGCUGGUUCUCCCCGAAAGCUAUUUAGGUAGCGCCUCGUGAAUUCAUCUCCGGGGGUAGAGCACUGUUUCGGCUAGGGGGCCAUCCCGGCUUACCAACCCGAUGCAAACUGCGAAUACCGGAGAAUGUUAUCACGGGAGACACACGGCGGGUGCUAACGUCCGUCGUGAAGAGGGAAACAACCCAGACCGCCAGCUAAGGUCCCAAAGUCAUGGUUAAGUGGGAAACGAUGUGGGAAGGCCCAGACAGCCAGGAUGUUGGCUUAGAAGCAGCCAUCAUUUAAAGAAAGCGUAAUAGCUCACUGGUCGAGUCGGCCUGCGCGGAAGAUGUAACGGGGCUAAACCAUGCACCGAAGCUGCGGCAGCGAACGUAUCACUUAAAACGAUUCAGAAGCUUACGA